rnacentral:rRNA from 1 species
GACGAACGCUGGCGGCGUGCUUAACACAUGCAAGUCGAACGGAAAGGCCCUGCUUCUGUGGGUUGCUCGAGUGGCGAACGGGUGAGUAACACGUGAGUAACCUGCCCUUGACUUUGGGAUAACUUCAGGAAACUGGGGCUAAUACCGGAUAGGAGCUCCUGCUGCAUGGUGGGGGUUGGAAAGUUUCGGCGGUUGGGGAUGGACUCGCGGCUUAUCAGCUUGUUGGUGGGGUAGUGGCGUACCAAGGCUUUGACGGGUAGCCGGCCUGAGAGGGUGACCGGCCACAUUGGGACUGAGAUACGGCCCAGACUCCUACGGGAGGCAGCAGUGGGGAAUAUUGCACAAUGGGCGGAAGCCUGAUGCAGCAACGCCGCGUGCGGGAUGACGGCCUUCGGGUUGUAAACCGCUUUCGCCUGUGACGAAGCGUGAGUGACGGUAAUGGGUAAAGAAGCACCGGCUAACUACGUG